GCACCCCCUUCCCCUUCCCCUUCCCCUGCGCGGGGCACGGAGCCGGGGGCGAUGCUCGCGGGCGGGGCGGCCCUUCGGGGAAGCGCACCCAGCUCCGCGGGCUGAGCCGAAAGCCACGUGCGGGGCUGCGGAAGAGCAGUUGAUGCCCGGGGCAGCAGGGCCUGGCUGCACGGGGGCACGGUCCUAGCAGCAGAGGACGUUACAUGUGCUGCGCGGGACUAGCAUUGUAGGAUGUCUUCAGUGUGGGAGAGUGAAUCUGUGGUGGGUUACUAUGUGGAGUAUGAAGGCAUUUGGAAAAUCUGACAGAGCAAUAAGACUGCUC